rnacentral:rRNA from 1 species
AUUGAACGCUGGCGGCAGGCCUAACACAUGCAAGUCGAGCGAGCGGCGGACGGGUGAGUAAUGUCUGGGAAACUGCCUGAUGGAGGGGGAUAACUACUGGAAACGGUAGCUAAUACCGCAUACCAUCAGAUGUGCCCAGAUGGGAUUAGCUAGUAGGUGGGGUAACGGCGCACCUAGGCGACGAUCCCUAGCUGGUCUGAGAGGAUUACAAGCAACACUGGAACGGAGAAACGGUCCGGAUUCCUACGGGAGGCAGCAGUGGGGAAUAUUGAACAAUGGGCGCGAGCCUGAUGCAGCCAUGCCGCGUGGGUGAAGAAGGCCUUCGGGUUGUAAAGCACUUUCAGCGGGGAGGCGUUACCCGCAGAAGAAGCACCGGCUAACUCCGUGCCAGCAGCCGCGGUAAUUC